AAUACAACUGAAAAAAA
rnacentral:sRNA from 1 species